rnacentral:misc_RNA from 1 species
GAUGAAGAACGUAGCGAAAUGCGAUAAGUAAUGUGAAUUGCAGAAUUCAGUGAAUCAUCGAAUCUUUGAACGCACAUUGCGCCCGCUAGUAUUCUGGCGGGCAUGCCUGUCCGAGCGUCAUUUCAACCCUCAAGCCCCCGGGCUUGGUGUUGGGGAUCGGCGAGCCUCCGCGCCCGCCGUCCCCUAAAUCUAGUGGCGGUCUCGCUGUAGCUUCCUCUGCGUAGUAGCACACCUCGCACUGGGAAACAGCGCGGCCACGCCGUUAAACCCCCAACUUCUGAACGUUUGACCUCGGAUCUGGUAGGAAUACCCGCUGAACUUAAGCAUAUCAAUAAGCGGAGGA